ACGCUCGACACCUACGAGAGGCAGCAGUGGGGAAUAUUGCACAAUGGGGGAAACCCUGAUGCAGCGACGCCGCGUGAGCGAAGAAGUAUUUCGGUAUGUAAAGCUCUAUCAGCAGGGAAGAAACUGACGGUACCUGACUAAGAAGCACCGGCUAAAUACGUGUCAGCAGCCGACGGUAAUCUGAGGCGGGCUGGACAAGGC
rnacentral:rRNA from 1 species